UACAGAGGGUGCAAACGUUGUUCGGAAUCACUGGGCAUAAAGCGUACGUAGGCGGCGUCGUAAGUGUCGGAUGAAAUCCCACGCUUAACUGGGAGGGUGCGCCGGAAACUGGAGUGCUCGAACGUGGGAGAGGAAAGCGGAAUUCCUGGUGUAGCGGUGGAAUGCGCAGAUAUCAGGAGGAACACCAAUUGCGAAGGCAGCUCGCUAAACUGUAACUGACGCUGAGGCACGAAAGCGUGGGGAUCAAACAGG
rnacentral:rRNA from 1 species